CCGGCCCUCUGCCCACCUUCGCAGCUGGAGUAGCACGGCCAUGCUGGUGUAGUGCACCGCGACUCCGCGUGCAGUAAAGUGGGUGUGUGCCCCCUCAAUUUCUCCUCCCCUAGUAUGAAAUUUUUUUUGGUUGAUGUCGAAUUCAUUUGCACUGCAGUAUGCUUGUGGGUGUGAAGCAAUGCGCUCGGUUGCCACUCCCCCAUGUAUCUCACUUGCCGCCCCCGUGCAGCUCACCUCCAGCGAGCAGUAUGUUUGUGGGUGUGAAGCAGUGCGCUCGGUUGCUGCUACCCCGUGCAGCUCACCUCCGGCGAGCAGUAUGCUUGUGGGUGUGAAGCAGUGCGCUCGGUUGCUCACGGGGAAAAGUGCUAGAGGACAAAGAAGGAUCAUGUGGUUGAGAAAAAGUGCCCGAGUGGCAUUUUAUUUUGAGUUUAAAAUUUAUUGGGGGAACUUGGUCUUGCAGUACACUUUUGAUUUUUUGCGGUUGAAAAAUCUUACAGUGCCCUGCAGUUUGCUAUGCGAUGGUUUUGGUUAACCCAUUUCUUUUAUUUAGAAAAUAAAUCAAAGAAAUAAGCUCCUUUUCCUGAUGCAGGGUUACAUUCCUACAGGGCACCGACGGGGCUGCGGAGAGUGCAGUACUCUUGGGCUCCCAACGCGGUUCAGUCGCAGCGGUGCUGCAGUGCGGCCGCUCUGCUCUGCUGCUAGAUCCAGGGCCUUUGCCCGACGUGAGCACCUCGGGCGUAUCACGAGCAGUCCAUUUGGGCGCAAAUCUGCAGUCCGCAUGGGUCGUCGCUGCGGUGCGGCUGGGUGUGCAGUCCACCAGUGAGGGUGCUUGCAGUGUCUUGAACAAAUUUGUUGGGAGAGAGACAAAAAAAUGUAGUCCAGUCCAUUUGUAUAGCGGCCCAUUACCACUCCGUAUGAAGUGCAAUUUGUUUCAUGUGUCUCGAAAUUAUGCAGGUCGCUUGCCCGUCCGAUGCAGUGCAGUUUUCAUUCUGAAGCAGUGUGGUCGGUUGUAUGAUGUUGUUCAUCCCGUAGGUGCAAAAAAAUUGUUACGGAAGCGAAGAAAAAGUAAUGUGGUUCACUUCUUGAUAGUGUUGUGGUUCAUUUACACCUGAUGUGUAGUGCACUCUACUUUCUUGUCCUUGAAAAAAAAUUGCGUUUGAAUAAAGAAACCAUGCAGUUCUCUUACCCGUCU
rnacentral:lncRNA from 1 species